rnacentral:rRNA from 1 species
GACGAACGCUGGCGGCGUGCCUAAUACAUGCAAGUCGAGCGCAGGAAACUGACGGAACUCUUCGGAGGGAAGGCAGUGGAAUGAGCGGCGGACGGGUGAGUAACACGUAAGGAACCUGCCUCAAGGAUUGGGAUAACUCCGAGAAAUCGGAGCUAAUACCGGAUAGUUCAACGGACCGCAUGGUCCGCUGAUGAAAGGCGCUUCGGCGUCACCUUGAGAUGGCCUUGCGGUGCAUUAGCUAGGUGGUGGGGUAACGGCCCACCAAGGCGACGAUGCAUCGCCGCCCUGAGAGGGUGAUCGGCCACACUGGGACUGAGACACGGCCCAGACUCCUACGGGAGGCAGCAGUAGGGAAUCUUCCACAAUGGACGAAAGUCUGAUGGAGCAACGCCGCGUGAGUGAUGAAGGUUUUCGGAUCGUAAAACUCUGUUGUAAGGGAAGAACACGUACGAGAGGGAAUGCUCGUACCUUGACGGUACCUUACGAGAAAGCCACGGCUAACUACGUGCCAGCCGCCGCCGUAA